AUUGAACGCUGGCGGCAGGCCUAACACAUGCAAGUCGAGCGGAACGGCGGACGGGUGAGUAAUGCCUAGGAAUCUGCCUGGGCGUGGGGGAUAACGUCCGGAAACGGGCGCUAAUACCGCAUCAUAUCAGAUGAGCCUAGGUCGGAUUGGCUAGUUGGUGGGGUAAAGGCCUACAAAGGCGACGAUCCGUAUCUGGUCUGAGAGGAUGAUCAGUCACACUGGGACUGAGACACGGUCCAGACUCCUACGGGAGGAAGCAGUGGGGAAUAUUGGACAAUGGGCGAAAGCCGGAUCCAGCCAUGCCGCGUGAGUGAAGAAGGUCUUCGGAUUGUAAAGCACUUUAAGUUGGGAGGCGUUACCAACAGAAUAAGCACCGGCUAACUUCGUGCCAGCAGCCGCGGUAAUUC
rnacentral:rRNA from 1 species